ensembl:lncRNA
UUAUUUACUGAUGGUGUUUACAGAAUGCGAGUGCGUGUUAUAUUGAAAGCGAGGCUGAGUGUGCCCAUGAAUUGUAGAAUGUUGGUGUAUUUUAGUGUCUCUCUAUUGUUCACAUUUCUAGUCUAGGAACAGGCCAGGGCCUCUCAUACUGAUACAAGGUGUUAUCCCCAACAUUCUGCCAUUGUUAUGUUUCAACAAGGUUGAACCUGGUCCUCCGGGACAUGGCCAGGGCCAGAUACCUUAUCAAGGCUGAGAGUGCGUCUGUUCACGUGUUCCUGUAUCCCCUUUUUGUAUAAUACUCGCCCCAACCCUUUGGUUCGACGAGUAGAGGGUUUCGACAGCCGAGGAACAAGUCAUCGACCACCGGGUCCACUAUAGAUUAUUCAACCUAAGUCUGUAUCUCGCUGUAUUCCUGGAAAAUAAACCAUCUAUUCAACCCUCUAAUCCAACCUGUCAAGCUGCUUUGUUUUCGACUUCAAGAAUUACUACUACGACUGAAAAUACACAACGCAGAGUCUGUCCGAACAGUUUAGAAAUAAGCUGAAAUCUAACAUUUGGUGCCGUGACACCGUCUUGAAGAGAGAGGAGUGAGAAGACGAUUGCCUCUGAAGAUUGCCCUGUGACCGAGAAGAGCGUGCGCCCUGCCUGGGAACGUCUGAUCAACGCCUGCCCUGCCGAGGGACCCGCAUCCACAACGCGGCUGAACCAGCGCAUCUCCAUUCACCACGUGGGAAUCAACGGUGACUGAAUCUCAUUCCACACUCUCGACCAAGAGAAAAGAACAAGAAAGAUGAAGCGACUCGGAACAAAGAGCAGAGGAAGUUCACAGACCUACACACGACGCUAGUCGGAGAAGGACUGAUAGCGGCCCACCCCCUCGACUCAGGGCCCUCUGAGGGGAGUGACCAAGGCAAAGGAGGAGGAACCUUGGGAGCCUAUGGUUGCAUGUACCCCAAACUGCCAUUGUGUGGCCCAGAUGGGGAAUACAUCUUCCCUGGUGGUUUACAGGAGUCGAGACACAGUGUUCUUUCAGACAUCAACAGCUUUAUAGGCGAGUACCCGGUCAUCUGCAGUACUCCCCACGUGCCACAGAAGGGAAAUCCAUCUGCCCCACCUGACUAUGCUAAUUAUGAUGCGACCCAGACCCCACAACAAUUUCCCCAAUUCACCCCUGUCCCACCACAUUCCUUUCUUCCACAACAAUGUCUACAUCCGAACCCCCCCAAAACAACAAUUCUCCCAGGAGAGGUCUGGAGCAGUGACUAAGAAUGAGUCACUCUAUGGAGGAUUUGAUGACAACAUACAACCACACAUGAAGACCACAGACGAGAAGAAGGAAAUAGCCAGGGAACGAGAAAGAUUCCCCCAGUCCAACAGGGACAGAGGACGAUUCCCCC